AAAGUCUUGGAAGACCAAUCCAGGGGAAUGUUCUGGACUUUGAAUGAGGAACAUUUUAGAGCUAGCCAGCAGAAGCAUUAGAUUGAUGUGUCUACAGAACCAAAGAUCCAGCAAAGAUGAUGGAAAAGGCUAAUGCUAGAGACCAGUUUCAAGGCAUAUUGGUGUAUCUUGUCAGCAAAAAGGAAGACCAGACUUCAGUCUCCAGUUCUGUCAGUAAGCUCCAGUUCAAGGAAGAAAAAACUCAGCUGUUCAUCCUUCAUCACAACUCUUAGCUGUUAAUCAACAAUCUCUCCCUCUUUUGGAGCAGCUCAGCUGUUCUGCUGCAGGCCUAAUUAUAAUUACUGGGAUUUGUCAAGACUGUGAAGUGUUUGUGGAUAUGCAUCGUCUUGUUGGACUGAAUGAAGAGGGCUGUGCUCAUCUUCCAUUAUUUCCAGCCCCAUGACUGGGCUCACCAUGACAGGUAUGUGGCUGUGAUAUCUGGAAGAACAAAGUGAGAGGAUGUUAGCAACAGGUCACUGGGCACAGAAAACCGUGCUGUCAGGAGGCCCAAUGAUCAAAGUCAAGUAAAUGCUAAAUUCAAUCACAGAUGCAAAUAUUUUAUAAAGCUCCAU
rnacentral:lncRNA from 1 species